rnacentral:rRNA from 1 species
UACGGAGGAUGCGAGCGUUAUCCGGAUUUAUUGGGUUUAAAGGGUGCGUAGGCGGGAUACCAAGUCAGCGGUAAAAAUGCGGUGCUCAACGCCGUCGAGCCGUUGAAACUGGCGCUCUUGAGUGGGCGAGAAGUAUGCGGAAUGCGUGGUGUAGCGGUGAAAUGCAUAGAUAUCACGCAGAACUCCGAUUGCGAAGGCAGCAUACCGGCGCCCUACUGACGCUGAGGCACGAAAGCGUGGGUAUCGAACAGG